rnacentral:rRNA from 1 species
UGCUUAGGAAUCUACCAAGUAGUGGGGAGUAGCCAUUGGAAACGAUGAUUAAUACCGCAUAUAUCCUAUGGGGGAAAGGCAGGGGAGUCUUUCGGGACCUUGCGCUAUUUGAUGAGCCUGAGUGAGAUUAGCUAGUUGGUGGGGUAAAAGGCCUACCAAGGCGACGAUCUCUAGCUGGUCUGAGAGGAUGAUCAGCCACACUUGGGGACUGAGACACGGCCCAGACUCCUACGGGAGGCAGCAGUGGGGAAUAUUGCACAAUGGGGGAAACCCGUGAUGCAGCCAUGCCGCGUGUGUGAA